AUACGGACUUGGGGCCUGUUGCACAAAAGUAGAAUUAAGACAUCCGGGAUAAAUGACUCAGCUGAGCUCAAUGAAGCCAAAACAUGUGCGUCCAGGCUUAAUUGGUUGCACAAAGACCAAGCCAGGAUGAGCAGACACGGAUUCAUUAAGCCAGGUGAAACCAAUCCAGGAUAGGUGCGCGCUCACGGCUCACUCAAAUAGACCCCGCCACAGAUCACAGAUUAACUGAUUUACCAUGGCAACUAGAGCCGCGUACUUUUCCCCGUCGGAAGCACAAAUCCUCAUGGAGGCAUACGAGGAGGUAAAAGAUAUAAUUAAGAAGAAAGGCAACACCGCCACAGUGAUAAAGCAAAGAGAAAAAGCGUGGCAAAGUAUUGCAGACCGCCUGAAUGCAUUAAACAUGAACGGGCCAAAACGGACAUGGCAGCAGGUCAAAAUCAAAUACAAGAACAUUCUGCAGAAUGCAGUGAAAAAGAAUACCCACAGACAAGGCACGGGUGGUGGGUCACCAAAGGCUGACCUUACCCCAGCAGAGGACAUGGCCUUGGAGCUAAAUAAAGGCAGGCCCGUCUUAGAGGGGAUCCCUGGGGGGAAAGAGACGAGCAUAGGUUCCUCCCAAGAUGCCACCCGCUUCAUUCAAGUGUCUGGCAGCACUGUGUUCCUGUUAGAGCCACCAGCACAAGCACCAGACGAUGCUGAUCCAGGUGAAGGCCCCAGUGCAGCAGCAACAGCACAUGAUGGAGACGAUGAUGAUGACGAGGAGACCAUCUCUCUGGAUUCCAGAAGGCAUGAGGUAUCAUGGACCCAGAUGCUAUACAGUGGGAAAACCAGCCUGGCAACAUAGUGCGUAUUAAUAAAAGGACACCACAUCCUGCCAAAUUCCAGCUGCGCUAAUUGUAUUGUGUUCACAGAGCUCACAAGCUAUCAGAAAGUUGUAUGGCAACCACCUCCGGCGCCAAAUAGAACUGGCAGACAUAGACAUUCAGUACAAGAAGAAAAAGAUGGAAAAUCUUGCACUGGAGUCCGAAAUAAAAAAGAGGACAAUUAGGAAACUGGACCUUGAAAUAAAAAAAACUUGAGAGGGAGCUCCAAGAAGAUGACACAGCUCAAAAUAAAAAUGAGCAAUCAGUACAACCAAGUCAUCGUUAUAAGGCAUCGCCCUCUUUUGCCCACCCCCCCAGCACCAGGUGUGGCCACUAGCCUAUAUGAAGGCCCAAAAUUGUGUGUUCCUUUCUGCUCUGACAAUGGCAUGCCCAUUCGUGCGAGAUGUGGUGGAUGAAGAAGCACUUGUGCUGAGGAGAGCCUUCAGGCGAGAAAGGGUCUUCAGGGACCGGUUGGACCCACUGGCCUUCCCUGACGACCAUCUAUAUGAAAGAUACAGGUUUUCUGCAGAUGGCAUCAGGUAUCUAUGCAGACUACUGGGUCCCAGGAUUAAGCACCGCACUGCACGGAGCCAUGCACUGAGUGUGGAGCAAAUGGUUUGUGUGGCCUUGCGCUUUUUUGCUAGUGGAGCCUUCCUGUACUCAGUGGGGGAUGCAGAACAGCUGAACAAGGCCACAAUUUGCCGCACAAUAAGAAGUGUGUGUCUGGCUAUCAAAGCAUUAGCAGAUGUCUUCAUCUCCUUCCCUGGCCACAGAAGACUCUGUGACAUCAAAGAGGAGUUCUAUAGGAUUGCAGAUGGUCUGCAAUGCUGACUGUGUGAUCAGCAAUGUUGUGGCAAAAUGGCCUGGCUCAGUCCAUGACUCCAGAAUCUUUCGGGCCUCUGAAAUCUAUCAGUGCCUAUCACAAGGUGAAUUCUCUGGUGUGUUGCUGGGAGACAGGGG